rnacentral:misc_RNA from 1 species
UAAAAAUAUAAAAAUAUGGCUUUAACGAAUAUAGAUUAUACAAAUUAUACAACAAAAUUUGAUUAUAUAGUAGAAAAAUUACUCGUUUUAACAAAGAAUUAUGAAAUAAAAUUAAUUAACAAUUAUCUUUGUGUUCUUAAUAAUCUUGAUUAUCGUUAUUUAACAAAUUUAAAUAAUGAUGGAGUGCAAUUACUAAUUAAACAAUUAUGUAAUAUCGUUACAUUUGCAGAAACAACUUUGAUUCAAAGUUUUUGCAGAUUUUUAAUUAAUAUAAUUCAAAACAAUAUUAAUUUUCAAGAACAAAUAUUUACACAUUGUAAACAGUGGUUUAUAGAAGUUUUCAAAUUUGCUUUACCUAUUACACAUAAUGAAAUUCUUUUAGCUUUAAAAAGUUUUUUAAUGAAUAAGCAAUUUAACGAUAUUGAUUAUUUGAAAUUGUUGAUUGAAGAUAAUCAAUUAUUAAAAAAAUAUUUAAAUUCAUCUGAUGCACAAUGGAAUGAAACUCAUUAUUAUGCAAUUAAUUGUUUAGAAGGAAUUUUGAUGAAUGACAAUGGUAUUUUUAUAACAAAAGAGUUAAUAUAUACCAUUAAAAAUAUUACAUUAAAUAUUAUUUCUUCUUUGUAUAUAAAUGAUAAUAAAUAUUAUCAUACCAAAAUAUUAUGUUCAUGUUUACAUAUUCUGCAAAUGAUAACAGUUAAUGAAGUAUUACCACAUUCUAUUGACUUUAUGGGUGAAAUUUUGGGAGUUGUGCAAGCAUUUUUAUUUUAUGGUCUUAAAGAUUAUUCUCCUUUAAAACCACAAUUACUUCGUCCAGCAGUAAUGAAUCUUCCAGAACGAAUUCAUGUAAUUCCUAAAUGUAAAAAUUUAAAAAAUCAUAAAGCAAAAUUAAGAAAACAACCUACUAAAAAAGUUGUUACAGAAGUAAAAAAUAACAUUGUAUUAGAAUGCAAAGGAAUUAACAUAUAUUCAAGUGAUUCAGAUACUUCAGAUACAGAAAAUAGUAAUUCUGUUAUUAUGGAUUCUAAAAUAAGAUUAGAAACUAUACGUUUACUUCAAAUACUUAUUGAAAAUUCACCAAGUCGUGAAAUAUUUGGAUUUUGGCCACAAAUUAUUGCUACUGGAUCACGCAAUGAUGCUAGAGUAUUGACUAGAAGUAUUUUAAAAGAAUCUGUAUCUAAAGUGAAACAGCACAUGUUAAGUACAUUAACAGAAUUAUUGAUUGAUGUUAAACCUUUUUUAAUAUAUGCAGAAGAAGUUAAUCAAAUGUCUUUUAUUACUUUUUUUGGUACAGUUUGUCUAAUGAUUAAAGAAUUGCAUUUUACUUUAUCUUUGAUUUUAAAUAGUGAAACAAAUGUAGCAGUCUUAACGCAUGGUUUAAAAUGCGCUGCUGCUUUAAUUCAGGGUACACCAUAUGCACGUUUGAAAACAGGACUUGCUACAAAAUUAAUGAGAAAUUGUAGGCCAUAUAUAUUUUACAAAGAUCCAACAGUUCGCGUUGCUGCAUUAUCAACUUUUGAAGCCAUUGCUUCUUGUGAUCCAGUGACUACAGAAAUAUUUGAAAUACUUGGAAAACAAUUAACUAUAAAUAGAGAUCAACUGUGUUUAAAUACUUCAAUUAAUAAAGCAGAAAGAAAUAUAGAAGAAGAAAAUAAUGAAGAGAUUGAUAUUGAAGAUCUUAAAAAUAAUUUGACAAAUGAAUAUAAUAAUAAAUUAUUUAAACAGACAAAUAUCUGUUUUUUAAUUCAUGUUUGUUUGGAAAAUAUAUCAAAUAAGACAAUGAGUACACCUGUUCGUCUUCAAUCAUUAAAAUUAAUUGGUAGAAUGGCAUUUAGUACUGAAAGUCUUGUAUUUUCACAAAUAGAAUUGAUUACAAUAACUUUAAUAGAAGUCAUACAAGAUUCUGAAACACAAGUAAUAUUACAUGCUUGCAGAACUCUAGAAAUUAUGGCUGGUUGUCUCAUGAACAUUGAUUCAGAAAAUAAUAAUGCUUUAAUAUUUUGGAAUAUUAUAUUUGAUCCUAUAAUAUCACUUCUUCAACAUCCACAAACAAUAAUAAGAGAAGCUGUAUGUGAUUGUUUAGGCAAUAUUAAUUCUAUUGUAUUUGCUCAACUUCAAAGACAACAAACAAUUUUAAUUAUUACAGUACUGUUUGGUACAGUACAUGAUGAAGAAAGUGCUGUAAGAGCUGCUGGAUUACGAGCAUUAGGAAUGUUAGUCACAUUACCUGCAUUAAGAGAAGAAACUGGAUUUUUAAUGGACUUAGCUGAUGUAGUUUGUUUAACUGCUGAUGAUAAAAAUCUCGGUGUUCGUAUUAAAGGAGCAUGGGCGUUAGCUAAUUUGUGUAAUUGUCUUUCUAAAGAAAAAGAUUAUGAAGAUGUGGAACCUAUUUCUUUGGAAGUUUUAUUACCAAAAAUAUAUCAAGUCAGUAUUAAAGCAUCUAAGGAUAAUGAUAAGGUAAAAUGCAAUGCUGUUCGAGCUCUUGGGAGUAUUUUAUAUUUAUGUUCUAACAAAUACAUAUUGAAAGAUACAUUAUCAGGUUUAGAGACUUUGAUAAAUUGUGCUACAGUAGGAAAUGAUAUGAAGGUGCGUUGGAAUGCAUGUCGAGCUCUGGGUUUAAUUUUAAGUAAUAAUCCAGACAGUAUAUUACCAUCUUCUUGGCGAUAGGAUCAGGUAUUUCCUGUAUUAUGCAAUCUAAUUUGUAAUAGUCCGAAUUUUAAAGUGCGUACUAAUGCAGCAUGGGCAUUAUAUUCUUGUAAUUCCUAUGGAAAAUAUAUAAUAAUUUUAUGGAAGAGUCUUAUCUUAGCUUUUGAAAAUUCUCAAUAUGUACCGAGUUAUAUCGAGUAUCCUCAUCGUGAUGCUCUUAUUCAACAGUUGUGUCUUACUCUUAGUCAUGUGGCUGCUAAUACAGAGGUGUCAGAUUUACAGAAUCUUUGG